CCCAAAACCUAAAACGCAAUAAAAAAUAAAAAAUUAAAAAGAAAAUCUGGCUUCUGCCUAACUUUACACUUGUGUUUCCAAAUUCAAACAUACUCUACAGAUAUACCAGACAUCCAACCACAACAAUCUAGAGCUCUAGCCCUGGAGUUUCAUGUAUAGAAUCAAAUCCUGGCUCUACUUUACAAAGUUCUCACUAUGUUAUCCAGGCUGAUCUCGAACUUCUGGGCUCAAGGGAUCCUCCUGCUUCGCCUCCCAAAGUCCUGGGAUGACAUAUAUAUGGAGUCUCUAUUUUGCUCAGGCUGGACUUCAACUCCUG
rnacentral:lncRNA from 1 species